UACCGCAGCGUGUCUCCGUCAAUCCCGCCCCCUAGCCCGCCCUUCCCUCCCUCUCUCCCCUCCCCUCUCCCCUUUAGUAACCAUCCCAGCAACCCUUUGCAAAGCUGUUUCAAUUAAUGGGUUGACGGCUGUACUUGUUAUAAGGAAGCCACGGAAACUGUUACAGCUGAGGGUAAAAUUCCUUGGACAGAGUCUCUUUACGUGAGCACGCGAAAGGACCCCUUGUUUUGGCGCGGCUUCCUGUGGCCCGGUGCCACGCGGCCUUCAGCGGGCGCUGCUGAGCAGAGCAGAGGAGACGGAGACCGUCCUGGUGGACUGCAGCCGGUCUGGUCACCCUCGGAUUAAUAAGACGUACACCUUUGAAAGGUAAGCUUCUUCGGGAUGACGGGGCAGCCACGUCACGCAGAGGUCAGCUCUGCCUCGCGGUUCGAUGGCGAAAAGGUACAGCUUGCCCCGUUGGUCUAAGUGCGAAGGAAAGGCCCUUAGUUCCGUGGACGGAGCACUGUCUUUCCGCAAGUGUUGCUGGACGGCUGGCCGUCCACAGGCCACAGAGAAACGCGUCUUCACCCACGCAGCACACGCCUGUGGAAAGGUUGCCUGAGAUGGAAACUAGGCCCAGGUAGGACGCCUAAAACUGAAGCCUUUGGAAGACAACGUAGGAGGGAGGCUUUGUGGCCUUGGGUUAAGGGAGGAAUUCUUAGAAACGCCACCUAAAGCACGAUCCUUCAAAGAACUGAAAUUCAAACCUUCUG
rnacentral:lncRNA from 1 species